rnacentral:tRNA from 1 species
CUCAAGGUAGUAAAAUCUAAUACGCUGGAGUUAAGUUUCAGAGAUGGUCUGUUGUCCUUUUGAGA